rnacentral:lncRNA from 1 species
UUGCAGCUAGAGGUGGCCAAUGAGAUAUAAACAGAUGCUGUAAGGCAUGAUGUCUAGAUCCCUAGCAGUCAUCCCAGACCAUGAGAUAACUUUGAGAAGGAACACCAUGUACAAAGGACUGUGCAGAAGAGGGUUGGCAGGAGCCUGGAUCUCUGAUGACUUCACCCUUGACUGCCCACCUCACCAGGCUGUACAAGCCACUGUUACUGGCAGAUGAAUGCAAGUUCUAAAACAUACAACUACUGACCUACUGAAUUUUCCAAGGAGCACAUUUCCACUGGAGACAUUUGGUGCCUGCAGAAAAUACUUACUGAGGAAUUUCUAUGGGACCAGCCUGAAGUAGAAGCCACUGAAGA